GAGUUUGAUCCUGGCUCAGAAUCAACGCUGGCGGCGUGCCUCAGACAUGCAAGUCGAACGCGAAAGGCUCCUUCGGGGGCCGAGUAGAGUGGCGCACGGGUGAGUAACACGUGGAUAAUUUGCCUUCGGGUGGGGAAUAACAACCGGAAACGGUUGCUAAUACCGCAUAAUGCAGCGGCAUCUAUGAUGACAGUUGUUAAAGCGGGGGAUCGUAAGACCUCGCGCCUGAAGAGAAGUCCGCGGCAGAUUAGCUAGUUGGUAGGGUAAUGGCCUACCAAGGCGACGAUCUGUAGCCGGCCUGAGAGGGCGGUCGGCCACACUGACACUGACAUACGGGUCAGACUCCUACGGGAGGCAGCAGUCGGGAAUUUUGGGCAAUGGGCGAAAGCCUGACCCAGCAACGCCGCGUGAAGGAUGAAGUUUCUCGGAAUGUAAACUUCACAAGAAUGGGAAGAAUAAGAGGGGGUUAAUACCCCUCUCGAUGACGGUACCAUUUGUAAGCUCCGGCUAACUCCGUGCCAGCAGCCGCGGUAAUACGGGGGGAGCAAGCGUUGUUCGGAUUUACUGGGCGUAAAGGGCGCGUAGGCGGCGCCGCAAGUCACUUGUGAAAUCUCCGGGCUCAACUCGGAACGGUCAAGUGAUACUGCGGUGCUAGAGUGCGGAAGGGGCAACUGGAAUUCUUGGUGUAGCGGUGAAAUGCGUAGAUAUCAAGAGGAACACCUGCGGCGAAGGCGGGUUGCUGGGCCGACACUGACGCUGAGGCGCGAAAGCUAGGGGAGCGAACGGGAUUAGAUACCCCGGUAGUCCUAGCCUUAAACGAUGAAUGCUUGGUGUCCGGAGUUAGAUAGUCUCCGGGUGCCGUCGCUAACGCUUUUAGCAUUCCGCCUGGGGAGUACGGUCGCAAGACUGAAACUCAAAGGAAUUGACGGGGACCCGCACAAGCGGUGGAGCAUGUGGUUUAAUUCGACGCAACGCGAAGAACCUUACCUAGCCUAGAAUGCUCCUGACAGCCCCAGAGAUGGGGUUUCUUGGGUAAAACCAAGCAGGAUGCAAGGUGCUGCAUGGCUGUCGUCAGCUCGUGUCGUGAGAUGUUGGGUUAAGUCCCGCAACGAGCGCAACCC
rnacentral:rRNA from 1 species